AGUACUGACAUUAGAUACCCCGGUAGUCCAGGGUGUAAACGCUGCAGACUUGGUGUUGGAAGUCCUUUGGGGGCAUUCAGUGCCGGAGAGAAGUUGUUAAGUCUGCUACUUGGGAGUACGUCCGCAAGGAUGAAACUUAAAGGAAUUGGCGGGGAGCACCGCAACGGGAGGAGCGUGCGGUUUAAUUGGAUUCAACACCGUAAACUCACCAGGGAAGACUGUUACAUGAAAGCCGAGAUGAAGACUCUGCUAGAUUUUCAG
rnacentral:rRNA from 1 species